UACGAAGGGGGCUAGCGUUGCUCGGAAUCACUGGGCGUAAAGCGCACGUAGGCGGCUUUUUUAAGCGUGUCGUGAAAGCGCGGGGCUCAACCCCCGCGUCGGCGAUGCGAACUGGGGAGCUGGAGCACGUCAGAGGCAGGCGGAAUUCCGGGUGUAGCGGUGGAAUGCGUAGAUAUCUGGAGGAACACCGGUGGCGAAGGCGGCAUCCUGGACCAACACUGACGCUGAGACGCGAAAGCGUGGGGAGCAAACAGG
rnacentral:rRNA from 1 species